UUUUUCUUUUUUUUUUUUUUUUGCAGAGGGAAAAAACUUUAUUUCUAUCAAAUUAAAAAGUAGGAAUCAAUCUUCAAGCAAGAUAAAAUAAUCAGUAACACAAUUAACAGGUAACAGCGCGAGUACAGAUUGGACUACAGGUUUAGAGACUUGGAAUUAAGGACAUUCACCAAAAUUAAGAGGGCUGACAACUCACUGAGGAAAAGCACUGAUUCGUCGUAAACACACAACUUCUGGGGAAAUGGAGCUGACAUUUCACAGGACAGUAAACCAAAGACAAGGCGUCCUUAGGUUAGAGAACUGAUGUGAGCUGGAGAGGGAUCACAGUGAAACGCCAUUCAUUGGAACUCAACAAUUCCCCGAGAUCUGUUCAUCUCAAAAACAAGAAUAUACAAAAAUCAGUAGUACAAAUUCUCAUAAAAUGUGAAAAGCCCUCUAAGCCCUGACACUUGAAGCUUAACCUAAAGACUGAGUUUUCAUUUUCUUCCCUUUAUUCUUCUCUAAAUCAAACAUAAAACAUUUGUUUUUAUGUAGCACAUUUCUGACUUUAUACCCAAAGCUUUAAAACGAGGGGUGGAAAAAAGGUUUUAUGCAAUGGAGUUAGACGCACACGUCAUCCCCGGGGAAAACCUUUGAGGUGCGCUGCUCUUUUGACAAGUUUUUAAGCAGGAGAUCUUGUAUUUCAAUCUUUUAUUUCCAGCAUGACACUGUGCUUCCUUAUCACCAAAGAGGGAAUGAACAUCCAUGUCACACAAAAGCUUUCGGCCUCUUGGAAAUGUUUUAACCAUGCCUCUCUCUAACACACACACACACACACACACACACACACACACACACACACACACACCCCUGAUCAAAUUACGCAGUUCCCUGAAGCAUACAGAUAAUGGCAUUUAUUUUGGCAAGAAUUGUGCAGUUUGCUAAAAGAAAGAUAAGGAAUGGCAUUUAUCAACAAUAGUAAUUAAAACAUGUCUCAACAGAUGGAGGAAGCAGAUUUUUCUUCAUAGUUGAAAUGAACCAUGGAAAGGGUGGUCUUGCCACACUUUCAUCUGGAAACCCGACUGGAUCAGUUAUAUACACAAAGGGGUGAUAACUUAUAUAUAUGACCAGACCACAUUCCAUAUUAAAAGAAGUUUCUAGCCCUAGCUCAGGAACUUCCACAUGCUGUGGGUGCAGCCAAAAAAAUUUUUUUUAUUCGGUCACUGGGUUCUUCUUUUGAAACACAAAACAGACAUGAGAGGUGGGCAGCGGCAGGGGGUGAGGGGAGCCAUAGAGAAAAAGCUGUAUCAUACUACAAUAGAGAAAAAGCAAGAGCAUGCUACACGCACAACUCUGUCUUAUGAAUUGCCUUUCUGGCAAAAUUACUGCAGCAAGGAACAUAUUGUCUAGUUAAGGAAAGCUACGAAAUGAAAUGCAUCAGGUAGCUGUGAAUGCGUCCCCAGAUCCUGGGACCCAGCAGAGCACAGAUGAGACAGAUGCCUCUGUACAUACAGUGUGCAACUACCACCAGGACCCGUUUCCUGUCUCAGCACCAGAGCGCCAAAAGCAAAGAUUCCAGGUGGGAGCAGAUAUUGUUUUACCUAUUCAUGAGACUAGGUGAACUAGGCAAACAUACCAAAAAGGCCCUUUGAAAUUUCCUGAUUAAUCCCUGUAGGCAUAUGAAAAGAUUAAGUAAAUGGGAUUGUUUUUAAAUACUUGAGGCAAGAUAACAGAGAUAGUAUUAGCUAUUCCAUAGGGCAAUUGAGGGGAUUUAAUUAGACAAUGGGUGCGGUGAGCUUAGUACCAAAAAAGAGUAACUACCAAGAAGGUUGAUACCUUAACAUAUUUAGAAAUGUGCUCCCUUUGUGAUCUGAGCAAUGACCUCCCCCUCCCCCCAGCAGAGGGAAAAGUCUCUUUAAACAAAUAGCCAAAGACAACAUUGAAAUCCGGUUCCAGUGAACUACAUUGUAGAAAAAGGCUUAUUUAUACAUUUGCAUAGGCCUGUUUCUGAAUGUAUCCUGUCAUUGACAUUAUAAACGACAGGAAAGCCACAGCAGCAUCUCUCUCCCAAGAAUCCUCCAUCACCUAUGUCUAUUCUUAUCACCUCCCCUGCCCUGCACACCCUGGGUGUAGCUGGGGCUCCCCUGAGCUUGGCGGCAGGAGGGUGCUGGGGGUGACCCUGGCAAAGGCAGGUGAGACACGACUGUGCAUGAUAAGCAGGGCCACCACAUCAGAGGAUGGGCAAAGGCGUGGAUGUGGCCUUGAGGAUCCCGUUAAUGUGUGACGGCACACGGGGAAGACGGUACUCUGUACUGGGUACCACUUGUUGACCUGCUAGCUCUUUGGGAAGAUGAGAUAUCAUCAGGGCUUUGUCUGCGGGUGGGAGGGAGAGAUUUGUUCUGACAUCCGGGAAGCAAAGUGAGUAGUGUCUAGAUGGCUCCCAGGAGCCCAGGACUGUGUGUGAGCACCAUGCCCGGGGGUAGGGGGGGAAACACACCUCAAGCAUAAAGGUCCCUUCAGCGCCACAAGACCAUGGACACUGAAAGGGUAGGCAGGUGAGGACCAUGAGCUUGUCUGCUCCACAGAUUAGCCGGGACCCAAGCCAGCCUACCUCAACCUCAACAGCCUUUCAUUUCAUUUAUACGUGAGUAGUUGUGGAGGAGCAAAGGCUCAAACUCCUCUAGCAGCUUCUUUUGCUUAAGAAAAAGGGUGGGUGGGGGGAGGAAGAGUCCCACACAGAGCUGAAUACCGCCAUGGUGAAGUCUGCUGUUCUUGAUGUGAGGCCCCCUAGAAAUACAAGUGAAACCAAGCAGCUCAGCGCCAUGUGUUGCUUGGGACAAGACGUGGGGAGUUAAGGUCCAGGAGCGGAGUCAGGAGAACAUGGGGGUGAGUCCUGUCUACACUGCAGCAGGAGCCAGGGCAUGAUGCUUCACGUUUCUGACUCUUGAACUGUCUAUAAAAAUGGGAUCGUGCCUAUCUCAAGGGAUGCUGGAAAGAUGAAUCGAGCUGUUUAGGAAGGUCCUAAAACGGAACCGAACACUCAGGAGACCUUUGGGAAGUGGGAAGCCUGUCAGGAUGAGGGAAACCAAAAUGAACGAAGGGCAGGCUAGAGGAAGAAGGUGAUUGGAGGCAGGGAUCUUGGAAAUCUAUUCUUUUUGUUAAUUAUGAAAGAACGUCCCACGUGGCGGUAGAAGGCCAACCCAAGAAAGAUGUCCCUUUAAUUUCACCUUGGCCAAAAUAUUUUCGAGAUCAUUAAAGGAAAAACUAGACUUUGUUGUAGAAAAACACCAGAAAGAGAUUUUGGGGCCACUGAACAUGAAACAUCAUCUUUCAAAGAUCACGGAGUCAGUGUUUGGUUUUUACUGGUCCAACCCAGCAAAGUUGACGGCCCUCAAUACAGGGCAACCUCCUCUGAAACAGCAGACGCUGUGGAGACACACUGAUGACCAAGGCUGCCUACAAGUGUCUGUUUUGCUGGAAGGGAAAAGCAAGGGAAGGACGGUGGCAUGGAGAAUGGAUUCGGGGGUCCCCGGGCCAUGUCCCACACCUCCAUUCCAAAAGCAGUGAUGACCCUGGGACAUCCG
ensembl:lncRNA